ACGCUAGCUACAGGCUUAACACAUGCAAGUCGAGGGCAGCGGGUUGAAAGCUUGCUUUCAAUGCCGGCGACCGGCGCACGGGUGCGUAACGCGUAUCAAACCUGCCUCAUACUCGGGGAUAGCCUUGCGAAAGUAAGAUUAAUACCCGAUGUUAUUAGUUCACCGCAUGGUGGAUUAAUCAAAGAUUUAUCGGUAUGAGAUGGUGAUGCGUCCGAUUAGGUAGUAGGCGGGGUAACGGCCCACCUAGCCUUCGAUCGGUAGGGGUUCUGAGAGGAAGGCCCCCCACACUGGAACUGAGACACGGUCCAGACUCCUACGGGAGGCAGCAGUGAGGAAUAUUGGUCAAUGGGCGAGAGCCUGAACCAGCCAAGUAGCGUGCAGGAUGACGGCCCUCCGGGUUGUAAACUGCUUUUAGUUGGGAAUAAAAAAAGGGACUUGUCCCUUCUUGUAUGUACCUUCAGAAAAAGGACCGGCUAAUUCCGUGCCAGCAGCCGCGGUAAUACGGAAGGUCCAGGCGUUAUCCGGAUUUAUUGGGUUUAAAGGGAGCGUAGGCGGAUUGUUAAGUCAGCGGUUAAAGGGUGUGGCUCAACCAUGCAUUGCCGUUGAAACUGGCAAUCUUGAGUGCAGACAGGGAUGCCGGAAUUCGUGGUGUAGCGGUGAAAUGCUUAGAUAUCACGAAGAACUCCGAUCGCGAAGGCAGGUGUCCGGGCUGCAACUGACGCUGAGGCUCGAAAGUGUGGGUAUCAAACAGGAUUAGAUACCCUGGUAGUCCACACAGUAAACGAUGUAUACUCGCGGUUUGCGAUAGAUUGUAAGCCGCCAAGCGAAAGCAUUAAGUAUACCACCUGGGGAGUACGCCGGCUACGGUGAAACUCAAAGGAAUUGACGGGGGCCCGCACAAGCGGAGGAAC
rnacentral:rRNA from 1 species